AUGGCCGUGUUCGGCAAUUUCUACCAGGUGGCCAGGUGCGAUUUUGCUGCGCUCAAUCACACCCUCAUCAUAUUACUGCCAAAGAAAAAUGGGGCAGUACAGAUGAAUGACUUCCGGCCCAUCAAUCUCAUUCACUCGAUGGCAAAAUUGAUUGCUAAGGUCCUCUCAAUUAGGCUCGCCGGCGUGCUUGAUCAAAUCACAUCUCCAGCUCAAAGUGCUUUUCAGAAGCGCAAAGGGAUCCAUGACAGUUUCACAUAUGUUCAGAACUCCGUCAGAAGUUUUCAGAGGAGGAAAGUGCAGACACUUUUGCUGAAACUGGACAUUGCAAGGGCCUUCGACUUCGUCUCCUGGGAGUACAUCAUAGAGCUAAUGCAGCAGAUGGACUUCCCAGCCCGUUAG
rnacentral:rRNA from 1 species